UGUGUGGUUCACAGACUCGGUAG
rnacentral:piRNA from 1 species